ensembl:rRNA 5S_rRNA 5S ribosomal RNA
GUCUACGGCCAUGCCACCCUGAACGCGCCCGAUCUCGGAAGCUAAGCAGGGUCGGGCCUGGUUAGUACUUGGAUGGGAGUAUAAUGUUGAAAGCCAGGUGUGAUACC